ACGUGGCUGUUCCGGCCAUCACGCCUAAACCAAGCCAACCACAGCUACCCAGAACAGAUGACAUCAUCCCGCUCGCCUCAGCAAAAUCACGUGGUCGCUGGUGCACGUGAUCCGUGGCUUCGCGUAAAAACGAUGUAUUGUCAGCAAGGAACCCCAAGUAAACCUUAUUUAAAGUCUAAUGGAUGGGGAGCCUCACACUGGAAUAGGGGGUGUCUGUCCUGAGAACUCUCCUCAAUAAACCUGUGUGUGCUAAUUCUC